CCGGCGGCUGCUCGACGGGCAGCGAGCGCACGGUGUCGGCGUGCGCCCGCACCAGCGUGGCCACGCUGUCCGGAACGGCCCGCCGGA
rnacentral:tRNA from 1 species